ACCCGCGACGUCACUUCCGGCGGAAGUGCUCUGCUCGUGGAGACGGACGCCGGGCCUGGGACACGGCGGCGGCGGCAGCCAGUGGGGACGGUGAGGAGGGGAAACUCAGGAGAGCUCUCUGCAGUGUACCCUUCUCCUCUGGGCACAGAAUCUAACUGAGGUCUGGAGGAGGGGCAUAGAGGGAGGAGCCAGUGCACACCCAUAGGAAAAGUUCUUUUAGGUGCCCAUGUCUCCUGCGGAGCCCGUCUAUACCCCAUGGUCCUUACGGAGUCCCCAGCAUCCUCUAGGACGUAAGAGAAAAGGAUUUACCGGUACUAAGGAGACCACAGAGGACCAUGUUCGCCAUCUGCUCAGUGCGGGGAAGGCUGGGGGUUAUCUGGAUGUGUUAAGCAGUUAUCUCUAUAAAGCUUUAAACUUGACGUGCAAUCACUGAGGACUUGGCACUGCUGAAAUCUAAGCCUACAGAAACAAUACUCCCUAAGAUUCUUCACAGCCCUCUAAAUCAUCCCCCCUAUCAGCUCUUCAUGACGUGCAGGAACUAAAAACUUAAAUAUAUUGGAAAUAGAGGAUUAGGCAAAUCCUCUCUGAGAAUGUUUCCAGUUAUAAAAAUAGUUUCAAGAUGAUCAUGGGAAAAUACAUGUAGCUACAUUUCCAAUAAAUCUAACACUACAAUCAGCAACGUUACUGAGAAAUAUAUUUUUUUUAAAUGCAGGUGAUAUAGAAAUGUUUUUCUAAUAUGUAAUACUGAGCUACAGAGAGAGAUCUGCAAGUGAGCCCUAUCUACCAUUCCUACAAUUUCUAUCUACCUAAUAGAGCCCCAAGCACUAACAGUGCAAUGUAUUCAAUUCUAGUUUUAUUAUUUAAGCCAGUGUUUCCCAAAGUCUGCAAUUAAUUACAGUCCAGGUUUUAAGGAUAUCCAUGCUUGAGUCCAGAUGGUUAAAUGAAAUUGACUGAGGUACUAUUAUAGUCACCUGUGCUAAAGCAUGGGUAUGCUUAAAACCUGGUCUGUAAUGGUGGAGUUUGGCAAAUAAUGCAAUAAGCAUUAGUUACCCCAACGCUCACUGGCCAGGGCUCUCAGCACAGGGCUAGUGUUUUCCUGGGGAGGAGGCCAUAUUUUUUGCCCUAGUGCAGAGAAUCCCAAACACGGUCCUCAAGGCACCCCAACAGUCCAGGUUUUAAAUGUAUCCAUGCUUGGCCACAGGUGACUUAAUUAGCACCUCAGUCAAUUUGAUUUAACCAUCUGUGGUGAGCCAUGGAUAUACCUAAAUCUUGGACUGUUGGGGUGCCUCUGCCCUAGUGGAUUCAGCCCUGUGUUGAUCAGGCUAGGACUGUAAUAAUUAAUGGUACACAUUUGUAAUUUAAUUGGUACAUCUUUCAUUAAUUAAUGAAUAUUACCCCAAUUAAUAUUAAAAUAUUAUUGUCUGAAUAUAUUAAAAUGUUAUUUAUGAGCAUUAUUGCCCCAAUAAUACAUUCUUUAAGUAAUCGUGUCCCAUCAAUAUAUUUAUUAUUAUUAUUUUACUUGAGUAUAAUUCAGUGACACAGUAUCUAUGAAAAGAAAAGUCCGUGUUUUUACCUAGCACCCUGUAUAAUAAAUGGGUACCAUAACAUGUGGAAUAGCAUUAAAGCUAUGGAUGCUUCUUACA